UUGCAGAGGUAGGUUAGGAGACUAUGUAUCCUCCCUAUGGAAGCUAAGAAGGAUCUAUGAUGUAGAAGAAAUGAGAUUUAGCCAGAGUACUUGUUAUGCGUAGCAUAAAUGAUACAAAGCAAAAAGUAAAACAGAGAGAAGGGUGUGGAGGGGAGGGAGAAGAUUACA